GCUUAUUUAUUUCUCUUCAUUUCUAUCACAAUAAGAUGGACUUUACCGAGGAUGAGAAUGGAUCAGUUAUUAAAUCUUGGAUGGAAAUUUCUUUUACCUAUUUCCCUGGGCAAUCUCUUAUUAACAACCUCUUCUCAACUUGUUUCACUAUAA
rnacentral:rRNA from 1 species